rnacentral:rRNA from 1 species
AUUGAACGCUGGCGGCAGGCCUAACACAUGCAAGUCGAACGGAGUGGCGGACGGGUGAGUAAUACCUAGGAAUCUGCCUGGUAGAGGGGGAUAACGAUCGGAAACGGACGCUAAUACCGCAUACUAUCAGAUGAGCCUAGGUCGGAUUAGCUAGUUGGUGGGGUAAUGGCUCACCUAGGCUACGAUCCGUAACUGGUCUGAGAGGAUGAUCAGUCACACUGGAACUGAGACACGGUCCAGACUCCUACGGGAGGCAGCAGUGGGGAAUAUUGGACAAUGGGCGAAAGCCUGAUCCAGCCAUGCCGCGUGUGUGAAGAAGGUCUUCGGGUUGUAAAGCACUUUAAGUUGGGAGGCGUUACCCACAGAAUAAGCACCGGCUAACUCCGUGCCAGCAGCCGCGGUAAUUC